GACGAACGCUGGCGGUGUGCUUAACACAUGCAAGUCGAACGGAAAGGCCCUGCUUGCAGGGUACUCGAGUGGCGAACGGGUGAGUAACACGUGGGUGAUCUGCCCUGCACUUCGGGAUAAGCCUGGGAAACUGGGUCUAAUACCGGAUAGGAGCCAUUUUUAGUGUGAUGGUUGGAAAGUUUUUUCGGUGUAGGAUGAGCUCGCGGCCUAUCAGCUUGUUGGUGGGGUAAUGGCCUACCAAGGCGGCGACGGGUAGCCGGCCUGAGAGGGUGGACGGCCACAUUGGGACUGAGAUACGGCCCAGACUCCUACGGGAGGCAGCAGGGGGGAAUAUUGCACAAUGGGCGCAAGCCUGAUGCAGCGACGCCGCGUGGGGGAUGACGGCCUUCGGGUUGUAAACUCCUUUCGCUAGGGACGAAGCUUUUUGUGACGGUACCUAGAUAAGAAGCACCGGCUAACUACGUG
rnacentral:rRNA from 1 species